ensembl:lncRNA
CAUUUAUGCUUCAUUGAAUUCAGCCAGUAGUUAGGUCUGCCUCUGGCAGUGAACAGAAGAAAGCAGCCAAGGGUUCACUCCCCGAGCCAGCACGCAAGGGUGUCCGUGCAGCUGGACUUUCAGGUGUGUCACGCUGGGGCUGAGGCCUCCGGAGGGACUCCUAGAAGGGAGGCGUGCGUGUAAAGCGCCAUCCUCAGCAGCCCACGACCUCGGACGGUUUGCCACUGUGGCCAGUGUUUUAUUGAUGCUUCUGAGGCCAUAGAGCACGCACGGGGAAGUUCUGAGCACACGGAGGACAAGCCAGGGCGGUGCUGUGUGGCCGCAGUCAACCCUAAGUAGGGUCCGAGUGGGGGACGGUCGCUAACACCUCGAUUCCUCAUGUCUGUGUUUCUGCAGCUUGGAGCUUGGAGAGUGUGUGUGAGAGCGACCUCGCUGACAGCAACCUCGCAGAAAGUGAUCGAGACUCGGUGGCGGAGCGCACCGACUGCCGCCAGGAUGAGGAGGCUGCAGGAACUCACGACGACGAUGUUGUGGAGGCCGGUGGGAGUGAGAAGACUGAGGCAAAGCCCCGGGCUGGGGGACAUGAGGACGAGGCGGCCCCAGUACCUGAGGUGGAGGUGGAGGAGGAGGCGGGCCAGCCCCGUGAAAAUGGCCAGGAGGAGUCCUUAGCCAUCGCCUGGGCUGAGCCGGAAGACGAGCCUGGCCCCAAGGUGGACGGGGCGGACGAUGAAAUCUCUUGGAGCUUGGAGAGUGUGUGUGAGAGCGACCUCGCUGACAGCAACCUCGCAGAAAGUGAUCGAGACUCGGUGGCGGAGCGCACCGACUGCCGCCAGGAUGAGGAGGCUGCAGGAACUCACGACGACGAUGUUGUGGAGGCCGGUGGGAGUGAGAAGACUGAGGCAAAGCCCCGGGCUGGGGGACAUGAGGACGAGGCGGCCCCAGUACCUGAGGUGGAGGUGGAGGAGGAGGCGGGCCAGCCCCGUGAAAAUGGCCAGGAGGAGUCCUUAGCCAUCGCCUGGGCUGAGCCGGAAGACGAGCCUGGCCCCAAGGUGGACGGGGCGGACGAUGAAAUCUCUUGGAGCUUGGAGAGUGUGUGUGAGAGCGACCUCGCUGACAGCAACCUCGCAGAAAGUGAUCGAGACUCGGUGGCGGAGCGCACCGACUGCCGCCAGGAUGAGGAGGCUGCAGACUGUUGCUUUGGGAGCAAAGGAUCGUGCUUCAAAAGUCUGAGGACAAGUUUGUCCUCUGCGAGCUUGGCUAGAAUAAUUCCCCGGUGGCCACACAACAGGGUGCACCUUGCCACUGAGCCAGAUGAAGGAACUCACGACGACGAUGUUGUGGAGGCCGGUGGGAGUGAGAAGACUGAGGCAAAGCCCCGGGCUGGGGGACAUGAGGACGAGGCGGCCCCAGUACCUGAGGUGGAGGUGGAGGAGGAGGCGGGCCAGCCCCGUGAAAAUGGCCAGGAGGAGUCCUUAGCCAUCGCCUGGGCUGAGCCGGAAGACGAGCCUGGCCCCAAGGUAAGCUCACCUUUCUUGAUGUGAGGUUGGAAAAGGUGCCUCCUUUCUUCUUGGAUGUACCUCCUUCAGAAAUGGAAAUCUGAGAAAGUCCACUGUAGAUGAUAUAUGCAGAUUGCUGUGCGGAGGACUGUUGAGUCCAAGUUUGGUACCAAGCAGUAGCUCCUUCCCCGGGGCAUUUGCAAAAGGGACCGCAUCAGUUCCCAAGUGUGCAGUAGGGAGCAUAUGUCUUUGAAGAAGCCGGAAUGUUGUUUUGUCUUGUCUUUUUUUGCCUUUUCUAGGGCCCCUCCCGCGGCAUAUGGAGAUGAGGUUCCCAGGCUAGGGGUCUGAUCGGAGCUGUAGCCACC